rfam:Cavia porcellus supercont2_84 genomic scaffold, whole genome shotgun sequence.
UUGUGCGGUGCUUCACUCAAAAAGGUGCCAUUCAGGUAAAUUAAAAUAUGAUUGGCACUUUUUUGAGUGCAGUAGUACACAA